AGUGAACGCUGGCGGUAGGCCUAACACAUGCAAGUCGAACGGCAGCACAGUAAGAGCUUGCUCUUACGGGUGGCGAGUGGCGGACGGGUGAGGAAUACAUCGGAAUCUACUUUUUCGUGGGGGAUAACGUAGGGAAACUUACGCUAAUACCGCAUACGACCUACGGGUGAAAGCAGGGGAUCUUCGGACCUUGCGCGAUUGAAUGAGCCGAUGUCGGAUUAGCUAGUUGGCGGGGUAAAAGCCCACCAAGGCGACGAUCCGUAGCUGGUCUGAGAGGAUGAUCAGCCACACUGGAACUGAGACACGGUCCAGACUCCUACGGGAGGCAGCAGUGGGGAAUAUUGGACAAUGGGCGCAAGCCUGAUCCAGCCAUACCGCGUGGGUGAAGAAGGCCUUCGGGUUGUAAAGCCCUUUUGUUGGGAAGGAAAAGCAGCAGGUUAAUACCCCGCUGUUCUGACGGUACCCAAAGAAUAAGCACCGGCUAACUUCGUG
rnacentral:rRNA from 1 species